rnacentral:rRNA from 1 species
CAGUCGCCGCGGUAAUACGAAGGGUGCAAGCGUUAAUCGGAAUUACUGGGCGUAAAGCGUACGUAGGCGGUGAGUUAAGUCUGCUGUGAAAUCCCCGGGCUCAACCUGGGAAUGGCAGUGGAUACUGGCUCGCUAGAGUGUGUCAGAGGAUGGUGGAAUUCCCGGUGUAGCGGUGAAAUGCGUAGAGAUCGGGAGGAACAUCAGUGGCGAAGGCGGCCAUCUGGGACAACACUGACGCUGAGGCACAAAAGCGUGGGGAGCAAACAGGAUUAGAUACCCCUGUAGUCCCUGUCUCUUAUAC